CCUACGGGAGGCUGCAGUGAGGAAUAUUGGGCAAUGGGCGCAAGCCUGACCCAGCAACGCCGCGUGAAGGAAGAAGGCUUUCGGGUUGUAAACUUCUUUUUAGCGGGAAGAGCAGAAGACGGUACCUCUUGAAUAGGCCACGGCGAACUACGUGCCAGCAGCCGCGGUAAUACGUAGGUGGCGAGCGUUGUCCGAAUUUACUGGGUGUAAAGGGCGUGCAGCCGGGAAGACAAGUCAGAUGUGAAAUCCCGGGGCUCAACCGCGGAACGGCGGUUGAAACUGGUGUCCUUGAGUGCCGGAGAGGUAAGCGGAAUUCCUGGUGUAGCGGUGAAAUGCGUAGAUAGAAGGAAGAACACCAGUGGCGAAGGCGGACGACUGG
rnacentral:rRNA from 1 species